rnacentral:rRNA from 1 species
UAGCUAAUUGGUGAGGUAACGGCCCACCAAGGCGACGAUUGGUAGCCGGACUGAGAGGUUGAACGGCCACAUUGGGACUGAGACACGGCCCAGACUCCUACGGGAGGCAGCAGUGGGGGAUAUUGCACAAUGGGGGAAACCCUGAUGCAGCGACGCCGCGUGGAGGAAGAAGGUUUUCGGAUUGUAAACUCCUGUCGUUAGGGACGAUAAUGACGGUAUCUAACAAGAAAGCACCGGCUAACUACGUGCCAGCAGCCGCGGUAAAACGUAGGGUGCAAGCGUUGUCCGGAAUUACUGGGUGUAAAGGGAGCGCAGGCGGACCGGCAAGUUGGAAGUGAAAACUAUGGGCUCAACCCAUAAAUUGCUUUCAAAACUGCUGGCCUUGAGUAGUGCAGAGGUAGGUGGAAUUCCCGGUGUAGCGGUGGAAUGCGUAGAUAUCGGGAGGAACACCAGUGGCGAAGGCGACCUACUGGGCACCAACUGACGCUGAGGCUCGAAAGCAUGGGUAGCAAACAGGAUUAGAUACCCUGGUAGUCCAUGCCGUAAACGAUGAUUACUAGGUGUUGGAGGAUUGACCCCUUCAGUGCCGCAGUUAACACAAUAAGUAAUCCACCUGGGGAGUACGACCGCAAGGUUGAAACUCAAAGGAAUUGACGGGGGCCCGCACAAGCAGUGGAGUAUGUGGUUUAAUUCGAAGCAACGCGAAGAACCUUACCAGGUCUUGACAUCCGAUGCAUAGUGCAGAGAUGCAUGAAGUCCUUCGGGACAUCGAGACAGGUGGUGCAUGGUUGUCGUCAGCUCGUGUCGUGAGAUGUUGGGUUAAGUCCCGCAACGAGCGCAACCCUUAUUGCCAGUUACUACGCAAGAGGACUCUGGCGAGACUGCCGUUGACAAAACGGAGGAAGGUGGGGAUGACGUCAAAUCAUCAUGCCCUUUAUGACCUGGGCUACACACGUACUACAAUGGCGUUUAACAAAGAGAAGCAAGACCGCGAGGUGGAGCAAAACUCAAAAACAACGUCUCAGUUCAGAUUGCAGGCUGCAACUCGCCUGCAUGAAGUCGGAAUUGCUAGUAAUCGCGGAUCAGCAUGCCGCGGUGAAUACGUUCCCGGGCCUUGUACACACCGCCCGUCACACCAUGAGAGCCGGGGGGACCCGAAGUCGGUAGUCUAACCGCAAGGAGGACGCCGCCGAAGGUAAAACUGGUGAUUGGGGUGAAGUCGUAACAAGGUAGCCGUA